ensembl:lincRNA
CCAUUUUAACUGAUUUAUUGAAAAAUAAAAAUCACUUGAAAGCAUAUGAUGGGAAUUGUACUAAACAGAAAGAGGUGUUUGAAUAUAGCCCUGGGGCUGGAGAGUGAGGCUGACUAAUGUAGGAAAAGGGGGGGGGAGGGGAGGCAAAGCUAAGGUGGUGGGAAAAAACAGUACCUGCUAAAAAUUCUACAGCUAACCUUUCAGCUCCCCGGGGAGCUCCCAGCAUUUAUUCCUGGGCAGGGUUUGACAGCUGGAUUGGCUGAAGAACAGCAUCCAGGUAGUUUAUCUAGAAGGGUUAGGAAACGAAACGGCAUCAAAGGGAACAGAGGUACAAAAUCUGAAAGGAUUCUCAUGUUGCUAGAACCCCUAUCGUGGUGAACCUGAAGUCAGGAAGGUUCAUCCGGGUCCCAGCUCAGCCACCAGCUAACUGUGUGACUGUGGGCAAAUCAUUUCCCUCUUUCCUCUGUUGUGAAAGAAGCUGGGCUCAACGCCAACCUAGCCUCAGGACCCAGCAUUCUGCAAAAUCCUGUCUGGCAACCUGAGCUCAGCCAGAUAACCGGAUCGGCUCCUCGAGAAAUGAGCUACUAGGAAUCGGAGCCAGAACGGCCUGGUGCUGGCCUUUCUCUCCAGAUCUUGAGCUCAGCUGUGUGGAAAUGCAGAGCGGUGAGAAUCAGCCCUCAUGAUAAUGAGAAGCCCACACCUGCUGCGACAAUGAGCUGGGCACACCGGCUGUGAGGGAGCGCCACACAGAGGCAGAUUCAGGGUACUGCAGCUGAUCAGAACAAAGCAGUCCCAUCGAAGGAGAUGGGUAAACUGCAGGCAGGAGAGGGUUGUGAGCUUUGGCAGGGGGUGAGAGGAGUCAGAGGAACAAGAGGAAAAGCCACCCAGUGCCCGGCCGCGUGUCAAACUACCCACAUCAGAUGCCCUCCCCUUAAAGCAGAGCGUGAACACCACUGAACCUAAUAGAAGCAGCUCUUCCAGUACAGAGGCCACGCUUGGUAUCAAGGUCCUCGACUCCUGUGAGGUGACCACCAUCACAGCAGGGGUCAGGAAUCAUCUCUGUUGACUGGAAUCAAAUGAGGUAGGCCAAUUCAUCCCCUCCCACCACCUCCCCUUACGAACAGGUAGGUGGCUUAUGGCUGAUCACCUCCACCCAGAGCCAGCAAGCAUCCUGGAGGCACGGGAAGGCUACUGCUGUCCCGGUGCUGGCAAAGGAGGCCGACUGGAGAACUGCUACCUUCUUGCUGCCAGUGUCUGUGCCAUUGAGAACUCCUCCAAGAGCAGAGGCUUGUCAGAUGCAGGAUGUAAGGGGAGGCACUCGCAUAGGGGGAGAGCUAUGAUACCCACUCGGAGGUCAAAAUCCACACUGUGAAAUGUAAUGUGUUGGGUCUAAGACACUGGAGAGGGGUGCACACACCAAUCUACACCUGAGCGUGUAAGAGGGGAAAGGUGGCACUUGGGGAAGAUCAUGAGCCCGGCCUACUUUGUUAAGGAGACUCCUUUGCUCCCAAGGGUAGAACUGCCAGAGCCCAGAGCCCCCACAGGACAACUUUUGACACAUUCUCCAAACACCCCUACCUGGGGAUGUGUUAUAGGGACAUCCACCCCUAGCUCAAGGCAAUUCAGCAAAGCUUUACAAAGGGAACUUCUCCGCACAAGGCACAACUGAGGGGGGCCCCUGACCGAAGAGCUGAGAGCACUGCUCAGAUCAGAAGGGAGGACUAGCAGCAGAAAUGCAGGGACCCGAGCGGGCAGAUCCCCAGCUGCUCUGACUCACUGCUCCACGUCGAGGGACAAGGGCGUGUCAUGCUUGGGAAAGGCCUUCAUCAGACUGCUAGGAUAGACACAGCCCAGCUUGUCUGGGACUGGGAAGCCCCACACCCUAUAGAGUGAUAGGCUCAACCGGUCCCCAAUAUAGAAAGGACCCAUCCAUUUGGCACUGCUGCCAUUCCUGGGGAGAGACAACAAGAGGACCUGGUCGCCCACGCUCCACUCGUUCUCCUGGGUCUCCCUCUUGAAACGCCUGUUCUCGGCCUUCUCGCUGGCCUUCUCGGCCACUCUCCAGUGGAGGUCCAACAGCUCCCGCAUCAGCUGCAGCAAGAAAGCAUCCAUCUUGAGCCCUUCAAUGUUCGCCCAGCUCAUCUCCCACCACACGGGCUCCAUCAGCUUCAUCUCUCCCCCAGUCAGCACCUGGAACGGUGUGGCCUCUGUGGUGGAGGCCCUAAAAGCCAGGUGCAGCAAGGGCAGAGAGGCCGCCCACUUCUUGCCAUACAGAAAGAUGAACUCCUUCAGGGCCCUCUUGAAUUCCCAGUAGGCCUCUGAACUCAUCAGGCAGGGGAACUGGAGGGCCCUACUCAGUGUAGUCACUUGGGCUCCCAGGGCCAGCCCACAGCUCACCAGAACAUGCCGGGCAAACUGGGGGCCUUGGGCCGCCUCCAGCCUGAUGGGAACACCCCACCUUGCAAACACAUGCUGGAGGAGCACCUGAGCCACAGCCACGUGCGUAUAGGGCUUCAGAGGGAAUGCCUCCACCCACCGGGUGUUGGCAUCGGCCACAAUGAGCACGUGCUUAUGUCCCUCCUCACUUACAGUGACUGGACCCACCACCUCAAUCUGCAGACUGGACCAAGGAGCUGUCGACCUGAGAGGCCAUGGGGACUCGAUAACUUUCAGCUCCCCGCCUAUGAGAUUCCGGGGGAUGCAGAACAAACAGCUCCUGCAGUAAUCUCUCACGUGAUCCUGCAUCCCAGGCCACCAUCCCAGCAGCCUCACCGUCUUAUAGGUGUCCUCUAGCCCCUGGUGUUCCCCAAUGGGGCUGUCAUGCACAGAGAAAAUCAGAUCCCUCCGAAGUUGCCUUGGGACUACCCAAACCCUGGGAUGCCUUUCCCCCUUGAACAUGAGCAGGCCACUGUCUUGGUCCAGGCUGAGUGAGUUAAAGGCAGAACUGAAAGGGGAGGGCCCGGACAAUUUCUGUCCUGCCUGCAACUUGGCAAUGAUAUCGGCCAGGGUGGUAUCACUCAGCUGUAAGGCCAGCAAGUUGGGCUUCCUGCCUUUAGGAUGAGGAGUCACCAUUGGCACUGGCACAUCCUUUGGCAAAUCCCACCACUGCCCGCCCCCUUGGGCACCCUGCUUGGCCAAAGUGUCCACUGUCACAGCAAACAGAGAGCCCCGAUAAGAGGUUCGGUAGAUAAAGGGAAGGGGUGAGAAGCCAGACGUGAGAGAGAUGAUGUAGGAGAGCAGACUUGGAUGAGGUAGUGAAGCCCCGUCAGAUGACAGGAAGCCCCGGACUCUCCAGAGGGGCAGGAGCUCCCAGAGAACGCUGAAGAUCCAGUUGCAGUGGGUGAGGAAAACCACCGGGAGCUGGGACUGGCCGAAGCGCUCCAAGCCGCAGGCCACGGCUGCCAGGUGGGCGUAUGUGGUUGUGUAAGGAGAACAGGAAAAGGCAAGGGAGACUGGAGGGCUGGUGGGCGACAAGAUGUAGAGACCAAAGCCAGCGCACAACUCGUCGUCACGGUAGAAGCAAUAGCCAGACACAUGGACACAGAUAAAAGUAGACAGGUCAGAAGAAGGAGGCAGAGGCUGGAAAACUCGGGGCAUGGAGGAAGGGGGUGUCAGCAGCUGGUUCUCCCCCAGCAGGCCCUGGAGAAGGGACAAUUCCAAUUCCCUCUUGCCUUUGUCCUGCAGCAAGAGAGACCAUCGAAUCAACCACGCUUUCGAAGCCCUACGGCUAUCCCACGCCUCAUUAUCCACCGUGGUCCGGGAGGCAUAGGAAAGACGUAGAACCACUGGAUUGUCUCCAACGCAUCGGGCAAAAUGCUUGAGGGCCCAAGCCACAGCAUAGGGGCUGUCCCCCCCUGACUGAGGACCCUCGCUGUCUUCAUCGGGGAGGAGAGGUUUUGAGGUAUAAGCGAUGGGGUGCUUCCUUCCUGAGUGCUCCUGGUGCAAGCUAGCUGUCAGUGACACUUGGCUGACGGUCACUUCCAGAUAGAAGGGCAGGUUGGGGUUGCAGGCAGCCCCUCCCCGACGGGUGGGUGUUCAACGUUGGACACCUCUGCAGCUGUGGCCACUUGAAGAGUUUCAGACACCGUUGGAGCUUCGGGUACUGAAUGACCUGUCAUUCCAGCUUGAGCCAGUGGCCUCUCUUGAGCUGUGGAUCCCCCUUGCUCUGUGGACAGUGCUAAAGAGAACGGCUUUUCCAGGCCUUUACAAUCUGACAGUGUACUUCCUUUAUCUCCCACAGAUGUUGAAGAUGGCCCUACUUGCA